rnacentral:lncRNA from 1 species
AUUACAGUAUGAUGACUUAUUUUAAUUGUCUCCAUUUACUCGACUUUAGAUAGUUUAAAUGGUAUCUGUUUACUCACUGGGAUUUUAUAAUCUCACCACCCUCAUUUCCUCACAUUUCAUGCUCGGGGAAUUCCAUAGUUAGCUGACUUUGACAAGGACCUUCAUUUGGACUUGAAUCAGUAAAAGCUGUAGGUUUCCAGCUUCCGAUGCAUUUUGGAUAGAUGUGGGCCCACGUGUCACUGUAAAAGAAAUUUUAUACUUUGGU